ACAGCAAUAUCACCUUGGAACACCAAUUCUUGUAUGACCACUGAAGUUAAACAAUGUUGAGCCUGGUUAGUACCUAGAUGAGUGACCGCUUGGGAAUACCAAAUGCUGUAA